rnacentral:tRNA from 1 species
UGCGCGGUGGUCGGUCCGGCCUGUGCCGUCGUGAGCUCGCGCUUCGCGGCCGCGAGGUCCUCCUCGGCGGCGGUCACACCCUGCUGCGCGGCC